CGUACGGGAGGCAGCACUGGGGAAUCUUCCGCAAAGGCCGAAAGUCCGACGGAGCAACGCCGCGAGUAUGAAAAAGCACUCGGGGGGUAAAAAACUAGGUCUUGGGAGGAAAAGAGACGGCGUAAAUAAGCCAGUGAAGUGACGUACCNACGAGAGCCCCGCGCUG
rnacentral:rRNA from 1 species